GAUGAACGCUGGCGGCGUGCCUAAUACAUGCAAGUCGAGCGAACGGACGAGAAGCUUGCUUCUCUGAUGUUAGCGGCGGACGGGUGAGUAACACGUGGAUAACCUACCUAUAAGACUGGGAUAACUUCGGGAAACCGGAGCUAAUACCGGAUGAUAUUUUGAACCGCAUGGUUCAAAAGUGAAAGACGGUCUUGCUGUCACUUAUAGAUGGAUCCGCGCUGCAUUAGCUAGUUGGUAAGGUAACGGCUUACCAAGGCAACGAUGCAUAGCCGACGGGAGAGGGUGAUCGGCCACACUGGAACUGGGACACGGUCCAGACUCCUACGGGAGGCAGCAGUAGGGAAUCUUCCGCAAUGGGCGAAAGCCUGACGGAGCAACGCCGCGUGAGUGAUGAAGGUCUUCGGAUCGUAAAACUCUGUUAUUAGGGAAGAACAGAUGUGUAAGUAACUGUGCACAUCUUGACGGUACCUAAUCAGAAAGCCACGGCUAACUACGUG
rnacentral:rRNA from 1 species